rnacentral:rRNA from 1 species
ACGAACGCUGGCGGCGUGCUUAACACAUGCAAGUCGAACGGAAAGGCCCUGCUUGCAGGGUACUCGAGUGGCGAACGGGUGAGUAACACGUGGGUGAUCUGCCCUGCACUUCGGGAUAAGCCUGGGAAACUGGGUCUAAUACCGGAUAGGAGCCAUUUUUAGUGUGAUGGUUGGAAAGUUUUUUCGGUGUAGGAUGAGCUCGCGGCCUAUCAGCUUGUUGGUGGGGUAAUGGCCUACCAAGGCGGCGACGGGUAGCCGGCCUGAGAGGGUGGACGGCCACAUUGGAACUGAGAUACGGCCCAGACUCCUACGGGAGGCAGCAGUGGGGAAUAUUGCACAAUGGGCGCAAGCCUGAUGCAGCGACGCCGCGUGGGGGAUGACGGCCUUCGGGUUGUAAACUCCUUUCGCUAGGGACGAAGCUUUUUGUGACGGUACCUAGAUAAGAAGCACCGGCUAACUACGUG